GACGUAGGGUGCGAGCGUUGUCCGGAUUUAUUGGGCGUAAAGAGCUCGUAGGCGGCUCGUCGCGUCGACCGUGAAAACCCGCGGCUUAACUGCGGGCUUGCGGUUGAUACGGGCGGGCUAGAGUUCGGUAGGGGAGACUGGAAUUCCUGGUGUAGCGGUGAAAUGCGCAGAUAUCAGGAGGAACACCAAUUGCGAAGGCAGCUCGCUGGGACGGUACUGACGCUGAGACGCGAAAGCGUGGGGAGCGAACAGG
rnacentral:rRNA from 1 species